rnacentral:rRNA from 1 species
UGAGGGAUAUUAGGCAAUGGGGGGAAACCCUGACCUAGCAACGCCGCGUGAAGGAUGAAGGUUUUCGGAUUGUAAACUUCUUUGACGAGGGACGAUAAUGACGGUACCUCGAAAACAAGCCACGGCUAACUACGUGCCAGCAGCCGCGGUAAUACGUAGGUGGCGAGCGUUGCCCGGAUUUACUGGGUGUAAAGGGCGUGUAGGCGGAUAAGCAAGUCAGAUGUGAAAUGCAGAGGCUUAACCUCUGAGCUGCAUUUGAAACUGCUGAUCUUGAGUAUCGGAGAGGC